rnacentral:rRNA from 1 species
GACGAACGCUGGCGGCGGGCCUAAUACAUGCAAGUCGAGCGCAGGAAACUGACGGAACUCUUCGGAGGGAAGGCAGUGGAAUGAGCGGCGGACGGGUGAGUAACACGUAAGGAACCUGCCUCAAGGAUUGGGAUAACUCCGAGAAAUCGGAGCUAAUACCGGAUAGUUCAUCGGACCGCAUGGUCCGUUGAUGAAAGGCGCUCCGGCGUCACCUUGAGAUGGCCUUGCGGUGCAUUAGCUAGUUGGUGGGGUAACGGCCCACCAAGGCGACGAGGAAGAGCCGACCUGGGAGGGUGAUCGGCCACACUGGGACUGAGACACGGCCCAGACUCCUACGGGAGGCAGCAGUAGGGAAUCUUCCACAAUGGACGAAAGUCUGAUGGAGCAACGCCGCGUGAGUGAUGAAGGUUUUCGGAUCGUAAAACUCUGUUGUAAGGGAAGAACACGUACGAGAGGAAAUGCUCGUACCUUGACGGUACCUUACGAGGAAGCCACGGCUAACUACGUGCCAGCAGCCGCUGUAA